rnacentral:rRNA from 1 species
CAGCCGCCGCGGGAAUACGUAGGUGGCAAGCGUUGUCCGGAAUUAUUGGGCGUAAAGGGCUCGCAGGCGGUUUCUUAAGUCUGAUGUGAAAGCCCCCGGCUCAACCGGGGAGGGUCAUUGGAAACUGGGAAACUUGAGUGCAGAAGAGGAGAGCGGAAUUCCACGUGUAGCGGUGAAAUGCGUAGAGAUGUGGAGGAACACCAGUGGCGAAGGCGACUCUCUGGUCUGUAACUGACGCUGAGGAGCGAAAGCGUGGGGAGCGAACAGGAUUAGAUACCCCUGUAGUCCCUGUCUCUUAUAC